ACAGACGUCUCUGAAGGUGGGCUUUUCUCUCUGAUUAUUUUUUCGUUUUUUUGUCAUGGCUCGUACAAAACAGACUGCUCGCAAGUCUACUGGCGGCAAAGCGCCGCGCAAGCAGUUAGCUACCAAGGCAGCCCGCAAGAGCGCUCCUGCCACCGGAGGCGUGAAGAAGCCGCACCGCUACCGGCCCGGCACCGUGGCCCUGCGCGAGAUCCGCCGCUACCAGAAGUCCACCGAGCUGCUGAUCAGAAAGCUGCCUUUUCAGCGCCUGGUGCGCGAGAUCGCGCAGGACUUCAAGACCGACCUGCGCUUCCAGAGCUCCGCGGUGAUGGCGCUGCAGGAGGCCUGCGAGGCCUACCUGGUGGGGCUCUUUGAGGACACCAACCUGUGCGCCAUCCACGCCAAGCGGAAUCGCUAAAGCAUGUCUGGUCGUGGCAAAGGCGGCAAAGGCUUGGGUAAAGGAGGCGCCAAGCGUCACCGUAAAGUGCUACGAGAUAAUAUCCAAGGCAUUACCAAGCCUGCUAUCCGACGCCUGGCCAGGCGUGGCGGGGUAAAGCGAAUCUCGGGUUUAAUUUACGAGGAGACUCGCGGGGUACUCAAGGUCUUCCUGGAGAAUGUGAUCCGAGAUGCGGUGACCUACACGGAGCACGCCAAGAGAAAGACUGUCACUGCCAUGGAUGUGGUUUACGCGCUGAAGCGUCAGGGCCGCACUCUGUAUGGCUUCGGUGGUUAAUUUUUUUUGUUUUUCUUCCCAAUGGCCCUUUUCAGGGCCGCCCACUC